AAAAGUGGGGGAUAACAUCUGGAAACAGGUGCUAAUACCGCAUAACAACUACUUUCUCAUGAUCGUAGCUUGAAAGAUGGCUCUGCUAUCGCUUUUGGAUGGACCCGCGGCGUAUUAGCUAGUUGGUGAGGUAAUAGCUCACCAAGGCAAUGAUACGUAGCCGACCUGAGAGGGUAAUCGGCCACAUUGGGACUGAGACACGGCCCAAACUCCUACGGGAGGCAGCAGUAGGGAAUCUUCCACAAUGGGCGAAAGCCUGAUGGAGCAAUGCCGCGUGAGUGAAGAAGGUUUUCGGAUCGUAAAACUCUGUUGUUGAAGAAGAACAUGCGUGAGAGUAACUGUUCACGUACUGACGGUAUUCAACCAGAAAGCCACGGCUAACUACGUGCCAGCAGCCGCGGUAAUACGUAGGUGGCAAGCGUUGUCCGGAUUUAUUGGGCGUAAAGAGAAUGUAGGCGGUUUAUUAAGUUUGAAGUGAAAGCCCUCGGCUCAACCGAGGAAGUGCUUCGAAAACUGGUAAACUUGAGUGCAGAAGAGGAAAGUGGAACUCCAUGUGUAGCGGUGGAAUGCGUAGAUAUAUGGAAGAACACCAGUGGCGAAGGCGGCUUUCUGGUCUGUAACUGACGCUGAGAUUCGAAAGCAUGGGUAGCAAACAGGAUUAGAUACCCUGGUAGUCCAUGCCGUAAACGAUGAGUGCUAAGUGUUGGAGGGUUUCCGCCCUUCAGUGCUGCAGCUAACGCAUUAAGCACUCCGCCUGGGGAGUACGAUCGCAAGAUUGAAACUCAAAGGAAUUGACGGGGGCCCGCACAAGCGGUGGAGCAUGUGGUUUAAUUCGAAGCAACGCGAAGAACCUUACCAGGUCUUGACAUACCAUGAAAAGCUAAGAGAUUAGUCUUUCCCUUCGGGGACAUGGAUACAGGUGGUGCAUGGUUGUCGUCAGCUCGUGUCGUGAGAUGUUGGGUUAAGUCCCGCAACGAGCGCAACCCUUAUUAUCAGUUGCCAGCAUUCAGUUGGGCACUCUGGUGAGACUGCCGGUGACAAACCGGAGGAAGGUGGGGACGACGUCAAAUCAUCAUGCCCCUUAUGACCUGGGCUACACACGUGCUACAAUGGUCGGUACAACGUGCUGCGAACUCGCGAGGGUAAGCAAAUCACUUAAAACCGAUCUCAGUUCGGAUUGUAGGCUGCAACUCGCCUACAUGAAGCUGGAAUCGCUAGUAAUCGCGGAUCAGCAUGCCG
rnacentral:rRNA from 1 species